GAACGCAACUUGCGCCCUCUGGUAUUCCGGAGGGCAUGCCUGUUUGAGUGUCGUGAACACCUCAACCCUCUAAUGUUUUUGCAUUGAAGGCGUUGGUAGUGAGCGCUGCCGGUCUUUGGGUCGGCUCGCUUUAAAAUAAUUAGCUGGAUCCAUUCUGACCUGGUUCUACUCGGCGUAAUAAGUUAUUAUCGUCGAGGACGCCUAGCCUUCUAGGCAGGCGGCCACAGUAAGGGUGUUUGAACCGCUUCCAACAUGUCUUGCUCUUGUAGCAAACACUUGAACCUCUGACCUCAAAUCAGGCAGGACUACCCGCUGAACUUAAG
rnacentral:misc_RNA from 1 species